rnacentral:rRNA from 1 species
UACGUAGGGGGGCAAGCGUUUGUCCGGAAUCAUUGGGCGUAAAGAGCGCGUAGGCGGCCCUGUAAGUCCGCUGUGAAAGUCAAGGGCUCAACCCUUGAAUGCCGGUGGAUACUGCAGGGCUAGAGCCCGGAAGAGGCGAGUGGAAUUCCUGGUGUAGCGGUGAAAUGCGCAGAUAUCAGGAGGAACACCGAUGGCGAAGGCAGCUCGCUGGGACGGUACUGACGCUGAGGAGCGAAAGCGUGGGUAGCAAACAGG